AUCAAAACGGUGAAAGGGAAAGUAGUCCUUUAUAACCUUAUUUAGCGAAUCGAGGACGGUGGAAGCUCGACAUAAGGCAAAGAAUGAAGAUCACCCUUGAGUUCCAUGCUGAACAUCUUUAGAUAAAUAAGCAAUGGCGAAUCAUUCACGUUACGAAUGUAGAGUGGAUUAAUAUCAAAAGACAUUAAUCUAAUAGGGUGGUACCGCGAGAUAAACCUUCUCGUCCCUUGU
rnacentral:ncRNA from 1 species